CAGGGGGUGAGUGGGGGAGCUGGGGGUCCCUGGGGGACGGGCUGUGGGGCAGGGAAGGGGUCUAGGGGAAGGAGGCUGCAGAGUGGGAGUCGGGGGGGAUCCAGGGGUGGGAGGACCAUGGGGAGCUCUGGGCGGGCAGGAAGGGCUGCAGGGGGCUCAGG